CCCGUGUGGCCCCGGGCCUGAAGAGCUCCCGGGGCCGCGUGAUUUUCACGCACACACCCACCUCCGGCUCUGGGCCUCGAAUCCCGCAAAGCGCUUCAUCGGUUGCCCACGAAGUGACCAUGUGAGCGUUAACCCGUUUUCUUGUCAACAGCCUUUAAGAGAAAGCGUUAAAACCCCCGUUGUGCAGAGCGGUUGCGUGAGUUUUCAAUUGGGGGCGCUCGCGGGGCCCCAGAGCGGCAGAGACCGAUUCCGGUGUCUUUGUUUUGCAGUAAAGCCCCUUCCCCGUGCUGUCUCCUGCGUAGGCGUUGCGGGCUCUGGGGCUCUGUUGGAAGCAGAUGGAAACUCUCCGUUGGACGGCUUUGGGGGCUGUGCGUCAGGCAGCGCCCCCUUCUUUGCUGCAGGACCCUGAGCCGCAGCGCCGGAUGUGCCCCCGCGGUGUCCAGGGGGUGAGGCCUGGGUAAGUGCUGCUGCUCAGGAGAUCCUUGAGCAGGGACUCGUUGCCUUCCUGCCACACCACGGUGGGGGGUUUGCGUGGGGUGGGAGGGCGUCCUGGAGCUCCUGCGGGUCCUGAGAAAGCCCCCAAGAGGCCUGGUGUGGUGGAUGGGGGGGUGUGUCUGGGGGGCCAGAGAGGUCUGGGUUCAGAUCCUGCCUCAGCCUGUGGCGAGCGCAUCACGUUGGCUAGGUUACGUCCUUCUGAGCUCCGCUGUGUUUUAAGUGGGGAAACUGCCAGAGCUCUGGGAGGACAGAAGUCUUGUCUGUGUUCUUUGUCUUUGAGCCCACGGUUGGUGGCGCAUAGUAGAUCGUCCGUCUGUAUCUGUGGGGGACUAAACAACGUAGGCGUUUUUGCCGCGAGUUGGUCUUCACGUGCCCCCUCUUGAUGACGGGAGAUGGCGUCUUUCCAUGAGAUGGUGAUGGCGCUCAGGGUCCCGGGCUUGGCUGGGCAGCUCUCCUCUGCCUGGGAACAUAGGCUACUGACAUGGGCUGCCUGUGUCCAGGUCAGUGAUAGUGCAGGGAAGGGAAUUGCUAAAAGCGUUUCCCCAUCUUGGGAACGUCCACUCCUGUCCCUUCCAAACCUGGGGCUUUCCUGCACUUCCUCUUUCCUACCCACUUUUAGAUGUCUCCUGUCACCUGGUGCCAAUGUCGGGCUCACUGGUAAUUCAGGCAGAGGAUUCAGGGAAAGAGUUGUCCUGUGUUUGGAGGGUCCACGUCCACACCUUCCAGGAGUUUUCCCACACCCCUUCCUCUCUGUAGACACCUUGGGCCCCCAGGGCCCUCGGGGCAGUUGUGUAUACGUUAGGGUCACUGUUGGAGCUUUCACUUCUGCCCCUGCUGUUGGGAACCAGGCUAUACGUGUCACUUGAGUUCUCCUCGAGGCCCAGCAUAGUUGCUGUCAGACAGCCACGGCACUCCCAUAAAUCCGGCAUUGGCGUCCUUUCCAGCCUCUCACUGGUUAAUUAUGCAUUAAUCGGCAUUGGCCACCCUGUCAUAGACCAAGCACUGUCUCCCCCUAGGACAGUAGGGUUAACUACUGUCUUCUCUAUGAGGAAAUAGCAUGUCUGUUUAGGAAAUAAUAACAGCCGAUCUUCGUCAAAUGCUUACUUUACUAUCUGCUAACUACUGUGCUGAGACCUUUCCUGAUGCUUGCCCUGCCCUGCCCUGGUGUGAGCAGGGACAUGUUGGGGGCCCAUUCUUGGGUUCUUGUCUAUUGCAGAUGAGCCCACUGUGUGGAGAGACAUCAUGGGAGUUCUAUCAGGAACAUUCUAGACCCCAGUGUCCUUGAGGUAAGAUCUCUGGUUUGUUCUCUGGAGUGUUGGUUCCUUGCAUCUGGUACAAUCAUGUGGGGGUUCCUAGGGGCUUCCUAAGAAGGUAUAGGGGAGCUGAGAAGUGAGAAGGUAAUGUCCAUGAGUCCUCAGAUCUGUUCCCCACCUCAGCCCCAGGUAACCUAGAUCACAUCUGGUCCCUGACAUGUCUUCAAUGGCUGCUGCAGAGGAAAGGCCUCCAGAGUCUCACUGGGUGAUGAGAGCUCUCUGGGGCAUCUGCCUUCCCUCCCUGGAGUGACGGCAGAAGCAUGUUUUUAAUGGGAAAUGAGUGGACCCAUGCAUCAGAGUCUCCCGUCCCCUGGGUUUGAAUCCCCUUCUGCUGCUCUCUAAGUCAGUGAUCUAUUCAGAACUUUAUUUUCUUCAUUUAAAACAACAAACUUAUGAUAGUAGUGACUUCUGUGCUGCUUAAAACCACAGGAUCCCUAUCAUUUCCAACCCUAAUAUUUUCCCAGUGUUUGUGUCCAAAGUGAGUUUUCUUUGAUUCCACUUGGCAGGGAGGUUCUAUGGGGCUUUUGCAAGAAAGAGUGGCCACUCACGGGGUCCUGUGCUUGGGUAGUUUUCCCAGAUUCCACCUAUUCCACAGGCCAGUAGCACCUGCUCCCCUUCCUAGGUCUCUCUCUCUCUCUCUCUCCCCUUGCAUGCACCUGCAUUCAGAAGCGAUCACGGGCUGUCUGUGCUCUGGUCAUUGAUAAUGCAGGGAGAGGAAUUGUUGAAAGCAGUUUCCCGUGUUUGGAGGGUCUACACCCAUCCCUUUCAAAUGCUGGCGCUUUCGCACACUCCUGUUUCUCCCCAGCUAGUGCUGUCUGGUCUCAGGCAUUGAGGGCUGCUGUGUGAGAGUCAAUGACGGGAGACUUGAGCUUGGCCUUUCUCAGCUUGGCCUCCUGUUACGGGAAAACGGGCUAUGUCGGUGUCGAGGUUUCGAAACUUUCUGGGGUUUAAGGAGCCAGGAUGAAUUCUGCAUGAUGACGUUACGCGAUACUGGGUGGUUUAUACUGAUUGCCAUAACGUUUUCAAAGGGAGGUCUCUUUUUGGAUAUGGUGGCCCUGUGCACGCCUUUGAAGGGGUGGAACGUGAUGGGAAAUAGAAAGGUAUUGGGUGGUGGGGGGAGCAACACGAGAAGGAGUUUGACGCAGGGAUGAGCACAAGCACUUGGGAGACAGACGUGCAGGGAUGUAAUAGACAGUGGAGAGAGGCUGCGGUGGUGGCCUUCACUCCCAACAUGGGGGAUGGGGGCUCAGUGGGAGGAGCCUCUGAGCUUGAGCCCUCCAGCCACCUCUCUACCAAUUACUAUAUCUGCUCUUGCCCUGCAAAGGCCCAAUUGUUAAGAGAUCGUUUUAUUUUGACCCUUCUCUGGGAACAUUGAGAUUCAUUUUUGAGCUGUGUUUGGUGUGAAACAAAACUGGCGGCUCGUCCCUGAUGAAUGGGGGCAUUCUCACUGAUAGCAGCUUGAAGACAGUUGAGAGAGAACAUUGGAAACCAAACGCAUGUUGUGACCCUCUGCUCUUCACCCUAGGGAUGCUGCCUCGGAUCUAGAGAUUGUUGGAAGAAUCCUUAAGGAGAUGCAGCAUUGGUCCUCUCAGGAUGACCUGGGUCCCAGCUGCCCUGGAGGGACCUCCUCAUGGUGAGUUAAUGCCAAGGGGCUAAGUUGGCCUGUGUUAGUGAUACAGAAGUUCCAAGCACUUGGUCUCAUUGGACUUUUCUGCCUUAGAUUAUUUCGGAGUUGAUCAUGGACACUGGCAGAGUGAAGAAUGAUGUCGCCACGUGAACCAUGGCCAGACCUUCUUAUCCUGUUGCCUCAGCACAGCCUGGAGGGACUUUUCUCUCUGCGUGAGCAGGCCAGAGGGAAAGUCCUGGGACCCUGGAGACUUGAGGUCCAGAGCUAGAGACUUCAGCUGGCCCUGCCGCUCCCCCAGCAGGUGUCACACAGCACCUGGGACCAGGAAGACUGGUUCCCUUCCACCUGAGCCAGGUGUCCAGCAGGCUCCACGUGCCCCUGCCUAUUCCUCCUGUAACUUUUUACAACCAAGAAUUUUCUGCACUGUGCAUCCUUGUCCCCUCACCCACCCAAUAAAUCUUGAAACUGCCCUCCUCGUUUUGUUUUGCUUCUCUUUUAAAACGCAUACCUCCAGGGGCGCCUGGGUGGCUCAGUCAGUUAAGCGUCCAA
rnacentral:lncRNA from 1 species